rnacentral:rRNA from 1 species
CAGUAGCCGCGGUAAUACAGAGGGUGCGAGCGUUAAUCGGAUUUACUGGGCGUAAAGCGUGCGUAGGCGGCUUCUUAAGUCGGAUGUGAAAUCCCUGAGCUUAACUUAGGAAUUGCAUUCGAUACUGGGAAGCUAGAGUAUGGGAGAGGAUGGUAGAAUUCCAGGUGUAGCGGUGAAAUGCGUAGAGAUCUGGAGGAAUGCCGAUGGCGAAGGCAGCCAUCUGGCCUAAUACUGACGCUGAGGUACGAAAGCAUGGGGAGCAAACAGGAUUAGAUACCCGUGUAGUCCCUGUCUCUUAUAC